rnacentral:rRNA from 1 species
AGAGUUUGAUCAUGGCUCAGAACGAACGUUGGCGGCGUAGUUAAGGCAUGCAAGUCGCACGAGAACGGCGGGCUUCGGCUCGUCUAGUAAAGUGGCGUAAGGGUGAGGAUCACGUGGACAAUCUGCCCGCAGCAGUGGGACAACCUCUCGAAAGGGGGGCUAAUACCACGUAAGACCACGGGGCGGCAUCGCCCAGGGGUCAAAGGUGGGGAUCCUUCGGGACCUGCCGGCUGCGGAGGAGUUCACGCCCUAUCAGCUAGUUGGCGGGGUAACGGCCCACCAAGGCUACGACGGGUAGCCGGCCUUAGAGGGUGACCGGCCACAUCGGGACUGAGACACUGCCCGGACUCCUACGGGAGGCUGCAGUUUGGAAUAUUUCGCAAUGGGCGAAAGCCUGACGAAGUGACGCCGCGUGAGGGAUGAAGGCCUUCGGGUCGUAAACCUCUUUUGUUCGUUAGGAAAUCCGCCGGGGAUAAUACCUCCGGCGGUUGACAAAGGCGGAUGAAUAAGCACCGGCUAACUCUGUGCCAGCAGCCGCGGUAAUACAGAGGGUGCGAACGUUGUUCGGUGUCAUUGGGCUUAAAGGGUGCGUAGGCGGCCUCGUAAGUUGGGUGUGAAAUCCCCCGGCUCAACCGGGGAAUUGCGUCCAAUACUGCGGGGCUCGAGGGCCAAAGGGGAGCGCGGAACUCCAGGUGUAGCGGUAAAAUGCGUAGAUAUCUGGGGGAACGCUGAUGGCGAAGGCAGCGCUCUGGGUGGCUCCUGACGCUGAGUGCACGAAAGCUGGGGGAGCAAACAGGAUUAGAUACCCUGGUAGUCCCAGCCCUAAACGAUGGGUGCUACGUAGGUGCCGGCCCAAACCGGUAUCUGCCGAAGCGAAGGCAUUAAGCACCCCGCCUGGGGAGUACGGUCGCAAGGCUGAAACUCAAAUGAAUUGACGG